rnacentral:rRNA from 1 species
GACGAACGCUGGCGGCGUGCCUAAUACAUGCAAGUAGAACGCUGAAGGAGGAGCUUGCUUCUCUGGAUGAGUUGCGAACGGGUGAGUAACGCGUAGGUAACCUGCCUGGUAGCGGGGGAUAACUAUUGGAAACGAUAGCUAAUACCGCAUAAGAGUAGAUGUUGCAUGACAUUUGCUUAAAAGGUGCAAUUGCAUCACUACCAGAUGGACCUGCGUUGUAUUAGCUAGUUGGUGGGGUAACGGCUCACCAAGGCGACGAUACAUAGCCGACCUGAGAGGGUGAUCGGCCACACUGGGACUGAGACACGGCCCAGACUGCUACGGGAGGCAGCAGUAGGGAAUCUUCGGCAAUGGACGGAAGUCUGACCGAGCAACGCCGCGUGAGUGAAGAAGGUUGUCGGAUCGGAAAGCUCUGUUGUAAGAGAAGAACGAGUGUGAGAGUGGAAAGUUCACACUGUGACGGUAUCUUACCAGAAAGGGACGGCUAACUACGUG